ACCUUUGCGGCACUCGAAUGCACCNAGAUUANUAUAUUGAUCCUGGCUCAGAGUGAACGCUGGCGGCAAGGCCUAACACAUGCAAGUCGAACGGCAGCACAGGAGAGCUUGCUCCCAUGGGUGGCGAGUGGCGGACGGGUGAGGAAUACAUCGGAAUCUACUCUGUCGUGGGGGAUAACGUAGGGAAAACUAUACGCUAAUACCGAUACACUACGGGUGAAAANCAGGGAUCUCGGACCUUGCGAUGAU
rnacentral:rRNA from 1 species